rnacentral:rRNA from 1 species
AUUGAACGCUGGCGGCAGGCCUAACACAUGCAAGUCGAGCGAGCGGUGGACGGGUGAGUAAUGUAUGGGGAUCUGCCCGAUAGAGGGGGAUAACUACUGGAAACGGUAGCUAAUACCGCAUACCAUCGGAUGUGCCCAGAUUGGAUUAGCUAGUAGGUGGGGUAAAGGCUCACCUAGGCGACGAUCCCUAGCUGGUAUGAGAGGAGGACCAGCUACACUGGAACUGAGCAACGGUCCAGACUCCUACGGGAGGCAGCAGUGGGGAAUAGUGCACAAUGUGCGCAAGCCUGAUGCAGCCAUGCCGCGGGUAUGAAGAAGGCCUUCGGGUUGUAAAGUACUUUCAGCGGGGAGGCGUUACCCGCAGAAGAAGCACCGGCUAACUCCGUGCCAGCAGCCGCGGUAAUAC